rnacentral:rRNA from 1 species
ACGUAGGUGGCGAGCGUUAUCCGGAUUUAUUGGGCGUAAAGAGCGCGCAGGCGGUUGAUUAAGUCUGAUGUGAAAGCCCACGGCUUAACCGUGGAGGGUCAUUUGAAACUGGUCAACUUGAGUGUAGAUAAGGGAAGUGGAAUUCGAUGUGUAGCGGUGAAAUGCGUAGAGAUAUGGAGGAACACCAGUGGCGAAGGCAGCUUCCUGGGCUAUAACUGACACUGAUGCGCGAAAGCGUGGGGAGCAAACAG